CCUACGGGUGGCUGCAGUGGGGAAUAUUGCACAAUGGGCGCAAGCCUGAUGCAGCCAUGCCGCGUGUGUGAAGAAGGCCUUCGGGUUGUAAAGCACUUUCAGCGGGGAGGAAGGCGGUGAGGUUAAUAACCUCAUCGAUUGACGUUACCCGCAGAAGAAGCACCGGCUAACUCCGUGCCAGCAGCCGCGGUAAUACGGAGGGUGCAAGCGUUAAUCGGAAUUACUGGGCGUAAAGCGCACGCAGGCGGUCUGUCAAGUCGGAUGUGAAAUCCCCGGGCUCAACCUGGGAACUCCAUUCGAAACUGGCAGGCUAGAGUCUUGUAGAGGGGGGUAGAAUUCCAGGUGUAGCGGUGAAAUGCGUAGAGAUCUGGAGGAAUACCGGUGGCGAAGGCGGCCCCCUGGACAAAGACUGACGCUCAGGUGCGAAAGCGUGGGGAGCAAACAGGAUUAGAUACCCUUGUAGUC
rnacentral:rRNA from 1 species